AGUGAACGCUGGCGGUAGGCCUAACACAUGCAAGUCGAACGGCAGCACAGUAAGAGCUUGCUCUUACGGGUGGCGAGUGGCGGACGGGUGAGGAAUACAUCGGAAUCUACUUUUUCGUGGGGGAUAACGUAGGGAAACUUACGCUAAUACCGCAUACGACCUACGGGUGAAAGCAGGGGAUCUUCGGACCUUGCGCGAUUGAAUGAGCCGAUGUCGGAUUAGCUAGUUGGCGGGGUAAAGGCCCACCAAGGCGACGAUCCGUAGCUGGUCUGAGAGGAUGAUCCGCCACACUGGAACUGAGACACGGUCCAGACUCCUACGGGAGGCAGCAGUGGGGAAUAUUGGACAAUGGGCGCAAGCCUGAUCCAGCCAUACCGCGUGGGCGAAGAAGGCCUUCGGGUUGUAAAGCCCUUUUGUUGGGAAAGAACAGCAGCAGGUUAAUACCCCGCUGUUCUGACGGUACCCAAAGAAUAAGCACCGGCUAACUUCGUG
rnacentral:rRNA from 1 species